rnacentral:misc_RNA from 1 species
AAGGAGCAUCUGCACUGCUCGCUUCGAAGAGUCGAAGCCGAGAGUGCCAGAGCCGCUUAUGUUCCCGAAUGUGGAACUGCGGAGCUCAUGGGUGGAACGCUGACAAGUUUCAACGCAUCAUGGUCGAGGUUGAUGUCCUCGGUCGCGGUGAAUAUAUCGACACACUGUUGGGUCCUGAAAGAACAGACGUUCUUUCCAGGCAAAAAAUACGAUCCGCUCGGAUCUUCGGUUAGUACCGCAGAGCUUGCUCUGGCCGGCUUCGAGUCAAAGUCUGAGUGGGUGUGUUGUUUGAGAACUGCACAGUGGACGCGAGCAUCUUUGUUA